CCCAGUGACAUUCCCAUCUCUCCCCCAUGAUAGUGGCCCAUUCCUACUCCUAUUAGAGCCAGAGGGAGGAGGCACCUUCGAGGAGCCCUUCCUCCACUGACAAUUCACUCCUAGCCUGCUUCUCUAGGCCCAAAAGAUCUCUGCGGGAGGAAGAACUCAAGAGGAGGGUCCAAGACAUCGAGCGUCACCUUGAUCAAGUCCAGAAUAUACCUCACUAACAUUGUGAGGGCCUUGACUUCAACUCUCAAUUGCCAUUCUCUGAAGCUAUCCUAGGGAAACUGAUCUCAAAUCAGUUCAAAGUACCCCACCUAGAGCCAUACGAUGCCAC
rnacentral:lncRNA from 1 species